ACGCUCGACACCUACGGAGGCAGCAGUGGGGAAUAUUGCACAAUGGGGGAAACCCUGAUGCAGCGACGCCGCGUGAGUGAAGAAGUAAUUCGUUAUGUAAAGCUCUAUCAGCAGGGAAGAAAGUGACGGUACCUGAGUAAGAAGCCCCGGCUAACUACGUGUCAGCAGCCGCGGUAAUCUGAGCGGGCUGGCAAGGC
rnacentral:rRNA from 1 species